AGCGAACGCUGGCGGCAGGCCUAACACAUGCAAGUCGAACGGACCCUUCGGGGUUAGUGGUGGACGGGUGAGUAACACGUGGGAACGUGCCCUUUGGUUCGGAACAACUCAGGGAAACUUGAGCUAAUACCGAAUGCGCCCUUUGGGGGAAAGAUUUAUCGCGAUUUGAUCGGCCCGCGUCUGAUUAGCUAGGUGGUGGGGUAAAGGCCUACCAAGGCGACGCUCAGUAGCUGGUCAGAGAGGAUGAUCAGCCACAUUGGGACUGAGACACGGCCCAAACUCCUACGGGAGGCAGCAGUGAGGAAUAUUGCACAAUGGGCGCAAGCCUGAUGCAGCCAUGCCGCGUGAAUGAUGAAGGUCUUAGGAUUGUAAAGCUCUUUCACCGGUGAAGAUAAUGACGGUAACCGGAGAAGAAGCCCCGGCUAACUUCGUGCCAGCAGCCGCAGUAAGAC
rnacentral:rRNA from 1 species